UACGUAGGGGGCAAGCGUUGUCCGGAUUUAUUGGGCGUAAAGAGCGUGUAGGCGGCCUGGUAGGUCAGUUGUGAAAACUCGAGGCUCAACCUCGAGACGCCGAUUGAAACCAUCAGGCUAGAGUCCGGAAGAGGAGAGUGGAAUUCCCGGUGUAGCGAUGAAAUGCGUCGAUAUCGGGAAGAACACCCGUGGCUAAGGCGGCUCUCUAGUACGGUACUGACGCUGAGACGCGAAAGCGUGGGGAGCGAACAGG
rnacentral:rRNA from 1 species